rnacentral:lncRNA from 1 species
UUUUAAUUUGUAAAUAAUUUCAAUGAGGUAGGAAAAGAUAAAGGGUUUAGGAGAUAUUUGAAGGAGUGGCAACUGCCAAUAAUAAACUGUUUUAUAAUAAUGUUCCAAUAAAAGAAUAACGUGGCUGUUAUAAAAAGGUAGUGUGGAUUUAUUAUGGCCCAUCUCUUUCUAGUCAAGCCCACUCAAUGGAUUUAGGAAUUCGAGUUUCAAUUUCUCAUCUAAUUGGGCCUAUGGGCUUCAUCAGUUCAAGUGUGUGUAUCGCUUGUUGAUGCUUUGAGUUUCUACCUGUUAUUCGAGUAUUUAUGUAAAUACACAUAUAAAAAUACACAUAAAUACACAAAUGCACAUAUAAAAAUAAUAAUUCGAGUUUCUACUUGUUACUAAGGGAUGAAAAUGUUAUUUUGUUCUUUUAUUAUAAUUUAUAUGUGUAUUUAUGUAAUACAUUAUGAAUUAUUUUUUUAAUAUAUGAUUUUGUGUCUUUUUUAGUGUUCAUUAAGUAAAAUAAUAAUUUCAUGUAAUCUGAGACUUCAAACAAAUAAACAGAUGUCAAAUUUGGAUUCUGAAGGUUAUCGAGGUGGAUCAACGCCUUUUGUUGUAAAAGUAAAACUUGCUUAUUAUGUUAGGUGUGAAAAUUGUAAGUAAAACUUGUCAAAUGUACGGCUAUGAAAUAAUGGGCUCUGUUCAUGUCUGUAGUGGGAAUUGAUUAUGAGCUAGUAUAAAUGUUUGUAGUUGCCAUCACUUUCUCUACACUUUUCUUCACUUCUUUCUCUUAAAAUUCUCCUCUUCAUCUCUUAUAAAUACUCUUCUUUAAUAUUCU